GGUGAACCUGGUGUGGUUGGUGCUGUGGGCACUGCUGGUCCAUCUGGUCCUAGUGGACUCCCAGGAGAGAGGGGUGCUGCUGGCAUACCUGGAGGCAAGGGAGAAAAGGGUGAACCUGGUCUCAGAGGUGAAAUUGGUAACCCUGGCAGAGAUGGUGCUCGUGGUGCUCCUGGUGCUGUAGGUGCCCCUGGUCCUGCUGGAGCCACAGGUGACCGGGGCGAAGCUGGGGCUGCUGGUCCUGCUGGUCCUGCUGGUCCUCGGGGAAGCCCUGGUGAACGUGGUGAGGUCGGUCCUGCUGGCCCCAAUGGAUUUGCUGGUCCUGCUGGACCUCCUGGCACUCCAGGUCCUCAGGGUCUUCUUGGUGCUCCUGGUAUUCUGGGUCUCCCUGGCUCGAGAGGUGAACGUGGUCUACCAGGUGUUGCUGGUGCUGUG
rnacentral:lncRNA from 1 species